GCGGUUAGGAGGCCGCCGCAGGGUGGCGUGGUGGUGGUGGUGGCGGCGGCGAGCAAUUGCGCCAUCGGAUGGCUGCGACGCAUCAAGCAGCCAAAAGGCGGAGAGCACGGCCUCCACCAGGUCACACCGAGUACCACUGCCCCAACGCCGCGCGCCUCCUUGCUCCUAGCUCCCCGGGGAUUGGGCGCACCUCACGUGGCAGCGGAGGCCGGAGGGCCCCAUGCGUCGCUGACAACAUGGACCCAGUGAG
rnacentral:lncRNA from 1 species